GACUACAGUGAGGUUACACUACUAGACUACAGUGAGGUUACACUACUAGACUACAGUGAGGUUACACUACAAGACUACAGUGAUGUUACACUACCAGACUAGUGAGGUUACACUACCAGACUAGUGAGGUUACACUAUCAGACUAUAGCAAGGUUACAAUACAGCAAGGUUACAGCACUAGGCUACAGUGAGGUUACACUACCAGACUACAGUGAGGUUACAUUACUAGGCUACGGUGAGGUUACAGCACUAGGCUACAGUGAGGUACACUACCAGACUACGGUGAGGUUACAUUACUAGGCUACGGUGAGGUUACAGCACUAGGCUACAGUGAGGUACACUACCAGACUACAGUGAGGUUACAUUACUAGGCUACGGUGAGGUUACACUAGAGUGAGGUUACAGCACUAGGCCACAGUGAGGUUACACUACCAGACUACAGUGAGGUUACACCACUAGACUACAGUGAGGUUACACCACUAGACUACAGUGAGGUUACACUACUAGACUACAGUGAGUUUACACUACCAGACUACAGUGAGUUUACACUACUAGACUACAGUGAGGUUACUCCACCAGACUACAGUGAGGUUACACCAGCAGACUACAGUGAGGUUACACUACUAGACUACAGUGAGGUUACACCACUAGACUACAGUGAGGUUACAAUACUAGGCCACAGUGAGAUUACACCACUAGACUACAGUAAGAUUACACCACUAGACUACAGUGAGGUUACACUACUAGACUACAUUGAGGU